CGGGGUCAACACCUGGUUAUUUACUGUUCGUUUAUAAUUGUUUACUAACCGUGUAUUAUGGUAAUUUCAUGGUAUAUUACGGUAGAUGUAGGUAGUUAAAUAGUUUUGGGUAAAAGAAGUAGCGCGUGAAAUCAGUCAAGUAGAACAAUAUCAUGCGAAUCGUUCACUUUCCACGCAGAGUUGAUAGCUUGAGCAGCAGCUUAGAGUAUUUUAGUUUUUAUUGAAAUUACUAAUGAUAGAAGGCACAUUCCAGUAUGUAGUAAAAGAUACAGCACAGAUGCACAGUAACAGCUCGGAGAGCGAUUGUGGGUGUAAGCACAGAUGUGAGACAGAUAUAUGCAUUGUUGAAGGUCACUGAUAUCAUUACAUCACUGACCAAGACUACAAUACUACGAUAGAAUCAAUACAGAUAUAAAACUGAACCGGAGUUGUUGUCUAUUACAUCACUCAAGAGGUCACAUUUUGGAGCCCCCAACAACAGGGAUUGACGACGCCCUUGGUACUACCAAUUUACUACUGGAUAGAGGAUCUCGUAGAUGUUGCAUUAGCGAUAAACAUUUUGGAAAAUCUGCUCACUUUAGUGCUGACGACAAACGGUAUAAGGCAAUUUAAACAGUGUAUACACAGAUGCACAGUAACAGCUCGGAGAGCGAUUGUGGGUGUAAGCACAGAUGUGAGACAGAUAUAUGCAUUGUUGAAGGUCACUGAUAUCAUUACAUCACUGACCAAGACUACAAUACUACGAUAGAAUCAAUACAGAUAUAAAACUGAACCGGAGUUGUUGUCUAUUACAUCACUCAAGAGGUCACAGAUAAAUA